CUCAAGGGCGGAAUGGAGGCUCUGCACUAGAGGGCACAUUUGGCAAUGUCUGAAGAGAUAUUUGGUUGUUAGAACUGUAAUCGGCUCUGCUGUUGUGGGGUUCACAGACGGCCCUGAGGAGGGCCUUUUCCGUGCCCAGCUUGGACUCCGGGCUCGGGUUCUUGGCUUCCCUUGCUCGAAGAAUCGAGCAGAGAGCCUUACCCCCACGUCUCUCAAAGAGCAAGUCUCUCCUGUAUGAGAAGACAGAACAACUUGGAGACAGAAAAAGCUGGGAUAACUUCCCCAAUCUGAAAUCCUGCAGUUGCCUCCACCUGUGAAACUUGCUGGUGGUAGUCUGAGAAUGAAUGGCUCAGAGAAGGGCAGGCUGAGGGCAGAGGAAAUGCUGAUAGGGCUAAUAGUGCACAGAGCUUGGACUUUCAGACCUCAGCCCUACAGAUGUAGCUCCAGCCCACCAAUCAGUGAAGAUCUUUUGAAUCUUUUGUACUCAGCAGUGCAGAGCAGCACAGUUACUGAAUGAG